GACGAACGCUGGCGGCGUGCUUAACACAUGCAAGUCGAACGGUAAGACCCUGCUGGUGGCGGGUGCUCGAGUGGCGAACGGGUGAGUAACCCGUGAGUGACCUGCCGUUGACGUUGGGAUAACGUCAGGAAACUGAGUCUAAUACCGGAUAGGAGCUCCUGCGGCAUGGUGGGGGCUGCAAAGUUUCGGCGGGCGCGGUUGGACUUGCGGCUUAUCAGCUUGGUGGUGGGGGAGUGGCAUGCCAAGGCUUUGACGGGUAGCCGGCCUGAGUGGGGGAACGGGCACAUUAGGACUGCGAUACGGCCCAGACUCCUACGGGGGGCAGCAGUGGGGAAUAUUGCCCAACGGGCGGAAGCCUGAUGCAGCAACGCCGCGUGCGGGAUCACGGCCUUCGGGUAGUAAACAGCUUCCGCCUGUGACGAAGCGUGGGUGACGGUACUGGGUAAAGAAGCACCGGCUAACUACGUG
rnacentral:rRNA from 1 species